ensembl:lncRNA
AACAUCACACUUUUUCUCUUUGAGAAACCCCCAUUUAUCCGAAAAUCACGCAUUUUCUCUUCGUAAAUCACCCACUCAACGCAAAACACACGUGUUUUCUCUUCGCAAAUCCCCCAUUUAAGCGAAAAUCACACUUUUUCUCUUCGAGAAUCCCCCAUUUAAGCAAAAAUCACGUGUUUUCUGUUCGGAAAUCCCACAUUUAAGUGAAAAUCACGCGUUUUCUUUUUCAAAUCACCCAUUUAACACGAAAAUCACGUGUUUUCUCUUCGAGAAUCCCCCAGUUUACCCAAAAAUCACGUUUUCACUUCGAGAAUCCUCCAUUUUAGCGAAAAUCACGCGUUUUCUCUUCGCAAAUCCCCCAUUUAAGCAAAAAUCACGCGUUUUCUCUUCGAGAAUCCCCCAUUUAAACGAAAAUCACGCGUUUUCUCUUCGAGAAUUCCCCAUUUUAGCAAAAAUCACGCGUUUUCUCUUCGAGAAACCACCAUUUCUGCGAAAAUCACGCGUUUUCUCUUCAAGAAUCCCCCAUUUAACCGGAAAAUCACGCGUUUUCUCUUCUCAAAUCCCCCAUUUAAGCGAAAAUCACGCGUUUUCUCUUCGAGAAUCCCCCAUUUAUUUGAAAAUCACGCAUUUUCUCUUCGAGAAUCCCCCAUUUAAUCAAAAAAUCACGCGUUUCCUCAUUGAGAAUCCCCCAUUUAAGCGAAAAGCACGCGUUUUCUCUGCGAGAAUCCCCCACUGAAUCCAUAAAUCACGAA